UGCAAGUCGGUGACGGCAAGCAAAUCUCUUAAAGCCAGUCUCAGUUCGGAUUGUAGGCUGCAACUCGCCUACAUGAAGUCGGAAUCGCUAGUAAUCGCGGAUCAGCACGCCGCGGUGAAUACGUUCCCGGGCCUUGUACACACCGCCCGUCACACCACGAGAGUUUGUAACACCCGAAGUCGGUGAGGUAACCUAUUAGGAGCCAGCCGCCUAAGGUGGGAUAGAUGAUUGGGGUGAAGUCGUAACAAGGUACC
rnacentral:rRNA from 1 species